UACGUAGGGGGCAAGCGUUGUCCGGAUUAUUGGGCGUAAAGAGCGUGUAGGCGGCCUGACAGGUCUGCUGUGAAAACUCGAGGCUCAACCUCGAGAUGUCGGCGGAAACCGUCUGGCUAGAGUCCGGAAGAGGAGAGUGGAAUUCCUGGUGUAGCGGUGGAAAUGCGCAGAUAUCAGGAAGAACACCUAUGGCGAAGGCAGCUCUCGUGGGACGGUACUGACGCUGAGACGCGAAAGCGUGGGGAGCAAACAGG
rnacentral:rRNA from 1 species